GUCUGGGUAUCAGAGUGGUGUAACCAAUACUCCCAAUGUAAGAAAGCAAACUAAAGUAUGCGUUUUUCUUUUUCCAUCCAUUAUUACAAUUGCAACAUUUACAUUUUUGUCGGCGAGCAUGAUUACUCCAUUGGCGACGUAAUUCACAAAAGUUAUUUAACCAUCUACAACUUGGUUUGGGCGGGGUAUAGCAAUUCCAUUCCAUUUCUUCGAUACAUUGAUAAGGAUUCGAAGACUUCGCUAUCGAACUAUUUGAAAUUUUUAUUCAAUUCAUAAUAAUGCGACCAAAAUAAAUCGUAAUUAUUUCACGUAUUCCUGCAACGGGCAGUUAUUUCGGCGUAUUCAUAUUACAUAGCAUAAAGAUGAAUGAUGAAAGAUGAGCAUUAGUCUAUGUAACUGUACAUGUAUAUAUAAAAUUCUACGUAGUGUAUACGAAUCUACAUCAGCUUUUCCUCUCCACGAGGAAAUUCUCUUGGCAACGUGUAGCUCUGCACAAUACAUCAGCCUCAUGUAAAGAAAUAUAUUUUUCUGUAUAUUUUUCAAUUUAAUCUUCUUCUUCUAUUGAUUCGAAUAGGAUGUAUUGAACUCGAAUUUAUAAUUUUUUUUUGUAUCUUCCAAAUUCUUCUUUUUACAUUUUUACCUAUAUAUAAAUAUUGAAAUUGCUUCGAAUAGCUACUAAUAUGAGCAAACAAAAUCUUCGAGUGUAAAAGAUUUGUAAAUGUUAUAUACUUAUUAAAUCGAUCAAUAAAUUCAUGAACAUAUAUAUGUUAUUAAUAUAUAUUUAUAUUAAAACUUUAAUUUGAUAAUCAUUUAUAUUAUACAUAUUUUAAUAUUCCAGAACAUAUUAUAAAAAGCAAGAAUAUAAUAUACUCGUAUUAUGAAAAUUUUAACCUUUAUAUAUUAUUUUGAUAAUGUUAUUCGUAGUUAUAAUAAUUUUUAUAUUAAAAGUAUUGCCACAAAAUAAAUGUGUGAAAUUUGAUUAAGAUCCAAAAGAUAUUUACUUUUUUUUGAAAGCCAACAUUCAAAAUCAUUAUUAUAUAGGAUGUAUUGGAAAUUAUUAUUAU